rnacentral:rRNA from 1 species
GACAGAGGGUGCAAACGUUGCUCGGAAUUACUGGGCGUAAAGCGCGUGUAGGCGGGCUGAUAAGUCGGAUGUGAAAUCCCUGAGCUCAACUCAGGAACUGCAUUCGAAACUGUCAGUCUUGAGUAGUGGAGAGGAAAGCAGAAUUCCUGGUGUAGAGGUGAAAUUCGUAGAUAUCAGGAGGAACACCGGUGGCGAAGGCGGCUUUCUGGACACUUACUGACGCUGAGACGCGAAAGCAUGGGGAGCGAACGGG